rnacentral:rRNA from 1 species
GUCGGUUAAAUACCGACCUGCAUGAAUGGCGUAACGAGAUGGGAGCUGUCUCAAAGAGGGAUCCAGUGAAAUUGUAGUGGAGGUGAAAAUUCCUCCUACCCGCGGCAAGACGGAAAGACCCCGUGGACCUUUACUACAGCUUGACACUGCUACUUGGAUAAGAAUGUGCAGGAUAGGUGGGAGGCUUUGAGUAUAUGACGCCAGUUGUAUAUGAGCCAUUGUUGAGAUACCACUCUUUCUUAUUUGGGUAGCUAACCAGCUUGAGUUAUCCUCAAGUGGGACAAUGUCUGGUGGGUAGUUUGACUGGGGCGGUCGCCUCCCAAAUAAUAACGGAGGCUUACAAAGGUUGGCUCAGAACGGUUGGAAAUCGUUCGUAGAGUAUAAAGGUAUAAGCCAGCUUAACUGCAAGACAUACAAGUCAAGCAGAGACGAAAGUCGGUCUUAGUGAUCCGGUGGUUCUGUGUGGAAGGGCCAUCGCUCAAAGGAUAAAAGGUACCCCGGGGAUAACAGGCUGAUCUCCCCCAAGAGCUCACAUCGACGGGGAGGUUUGGCACCUCGAUGUCGGCUCAUCGCAUCCUGGGGCUGGAGCAGGUCCCA